UCCGGCUUAACGCCGGCAGUCUCUCUAGAGUGCCCAACUGAAUGGUGGCAACUAAAGACGAGGGUUGCGCUCGUUGCGGGACUUAACCCAACACCUCACGGCACGAGCUGACGACAGCCAUGCAGCACCUUACUGGCAGUGUAUUGCUACAAAGUGAGCUUUCACCCACGGUCUCCCAGCAUUCUAGCCCAGGUAAGGUUCCUCGCGUAUCAUCGAAUUAAACCACAUGCUCCGCUGCUUGUGCGGGCCCCCGUCAAUUCCUUUGAGUUUCACCCUUGCGAGCGUACUCCCCAGGCGGGGCACUUAAUGCGUUAGCUACGGCACUGAAGGGGUCAAUACCUCCAACACCUAGUGCCCAUCGUUUACAGCGUGGACUAC
rnacentral:misc_RNA from 1 species